CAAAUGCCCUUUAUGCAGAGCAGAUGUUUAGAAACACUCCACUUUUUCCUGCAUUGUGCCUGGAGCUGCUGGCCAAAGGCCUCGUGCCUAAACAGAGAAAGUUGGGUGAGGAACAUGAAGACGAGGAGGAAGAGGAGAAAUGCCCAAUUUGCUUGGCUAUCAUGGAGGAGGGGGAGGA